rnacentral:lncRNA from 1 species
CCCCCCCCCCGGCACAGGGCCGCCGCGUGCGGGCGGAGCCCGGGGCUGGGGCCGGGGAACGUAACGGGGUUUAGUUAAUUAAUCACUAAGCCGACACGGCGGCGUCACCGUGGCCAUUGCUUGGCGUGCGGGGCAGCCGGCAGAGUCCAGCGCGGCGGCGGCUGGUGUCCGGCCUGCUGAGGACCAGCUAACUCAUCGCAGCUGGGGCGUGGGGGGGGGGGGAUGGAACCGCGAUGGGAGCUAAUUAACAACGCUGCAUGUCAUUAGCGCAGUGCAUCGGUUCACUUGACUCCCUGCGCACAGCUGGGUGUUGCCCAGGCGCGGUGGCCCUUGGACUCCAAUGAGACUCCUGCUCAGCCAAGUCUCAGCUGGUGUCAGGAAUCUGCUCCCUGCAGUUUAUUACCCAGCCUUGGUGAAAACUCUCUCCAGCCGAGCGGUGACCCCUUUCUUCACCAGCCAGUUCACUUCGACGAGUGGGUAAACACUAGUAUCUGUUCAAGUCAACAAGCUGUUACCUCCACCUCCUGGUUGGGAAGAUUCAUCCUAACACCAGGCAGACCAGUCCCACUGCAGCGGGUGUCAGAGUGCUUUAUUAAAGGCCUGAGCUCAAUACAGACCCGACAUAAAAGGAUGCAACUCGGCUGAAGUCCCUGCCUAUCCCUCUUCUCCAGCUAGUGCUCCAGCUCUGCUCCAUGGGUGACAGUGUAACAGUCCUUCUGGCUGCUACCACCAUUGAAAGCACUUUGAUGAUUAGAUCUGCUCUGUGGAGAGGGUGAAGAAGCCUGUAAUUACCAGGAAAGGGAUCUUCUAGCACUGUGAUGGAGUCUAUGCACCCUGCUUAGCAGACAGCAGGGAAGAGGUUAACUCUUUCACUCACUUUUUCUCGUGGAAGGAGAGCUGCAGGGAGCCACUCCCCCAGGAAAACCUCUCGGUGCUCAGGGAUUAUCGGGGAUCCAGGGGGGCAGGGCUAGCCCAAGUUGUAGAAAAUGGUC